rnacentral:rRNA from 1 species
AGGACGAACGCUGGCGGCGUGCUUAACACAUGCAAGUCGAACGGAAAGGCCCGCUUGCGGGUACUCGAGUGGCGAACGGGUGAGUAACACGUGGGCAACCUGCCCCUGGCUCUGGGAUAACUCUUCGAAAGGGGAGCUAAUACCGGAUGAUGACCUUCCUUCGCAUGUUGGUUGGUUUAAAGUUUUUCGGCUAGGGAUGGGCCCGCGGCCUAUCAGCUUGUUGGUGGGGUAAUGGCCUACCAAGGCGACGACGGGUAGCCGGCCUGAGAGGGCGACCGGCCACACUGGGACUGAGACACGGCCCAGACUCCUACGGGAGGCAGCAGUGGGGAAUAUUGGACAAUGGGCGCAAGCCUGAUCCAGCAAUGCCGCGUGAGUGAUGAAGGCCUUAGGGUUGUAAAGCUCUUUCGCCCGCGACGAUGAUGACGGUAGCGGGAGAAGAGCCCGGCUAACUCGUGCCAGCAGCCGC